GAAAUGCGAUAAGUAAUGUGAAUUGCAGAAUUCAGUGAAUCAUCGAAUCUUUGAACGCACAUUGCGCCCCCUGGUAUUCCGGGGGGCAUGCCUGUUCAAGCGUCAUUUCACCACUCAAGCCUCGCUUGGUAUUGGGCAACGCGGUCCGCCGCGUGCCUCAAAUCGACCGGCUGGGUCUUCUGUCCCCUAAGCGUUGUGGAAACUAUUCGCUAAAGGGUGCUCGGGAGGCUACGCCGUAAAACAACCCCAUUUCUAAGGUUGACCUCGGAUCAGGUAGGGAUACCCGCUGAACUUAAGC
rnacentral:misc_RNA from 1 species